rnacentral:lncRNA from 1 species
CAGCUCCCACACAACGGGGUUUCGGGGCUGUGGACCCUGUGCCAGGAAAGGAAGGGCGCAGCUCCUGCAAUGCGGAGCGGCCAGGGCAGUGGGCACCAGGCUUUAGCCUCCCUUUCUCACCCUACAGAGGGCAGGCCCUUCAGCUCCAUUCUCCUCCAAGGCUGCAGAGGGGGCAGGAACUGGGGGUGACAGGAGAGCUGUAAGGUCUCCAGUGGGUCAUUCUGGGCCCAGAGAUGGGUGCUGAAGCUCCCACGCCUGCCUGUGAAAAUGGAGUCCUCUCUCACCUGGGAGAGCCAGGUGCUGCCCCGAGAAGGAUGCAUUUAUGGCUUCAUGAAGUCUUUCCUGACCCACGAUGCUGCUGACUAUAGAGACAAAGUCUCACUAUGUUGCUCAGGCUGGUCUUGAACUCCUGGCCUCAAGCGAUCCUCCCACCUUAGCCUCCCAAAGUGUUGGGAUUAUAGACAUGAGCCACUGCACCUGGCCGACCUUGGGCAAGUUCUUAAACCCUUCAAAGCCUCAUUUUUCUCCAAUCAUAAAAGGGAAAGAUGGUAAUAUUUUCCCCGCCAAAUUCUUGUAAGUAUUAAAUAUUGUAUAUGUAUGUUGAACAUGAUUAAGCUCUAAACACUUGUUAGGAAGCAGGAGUAGCAUUUGAAACAAACAGCUCUUUU